rnacentral:rRNA from 1 species
ACUCAAAUGAAUUGACGGGGGCCCGCACAAGCGGAGGAACAUGUGGUUUAAUUCGAUGAUACGCGAGGAACCUUACCCGGGCUUGAAAUGGAGUGGAAUGACGUGGAAACAUGUCAGCCGGCAACGGCCACUUUGUAGGUGCUGCAUGGUUGUCGUCAGCUCGUGCCGUGAGGUGUCGGCUUAAGUGCCAUAACGAGCGCAACCCUUGUCGUUAGUUACUAACAAGUAAUGUUGAGGACUCUAGCGAGACUGCCACCGUAAGGUGUGAGGAAGGUGGGGAUGACGUCAAAUCAGCACGGCCCUUACGUCCGGGGCGACACACGUGUUACAAUGGGGGGUACAGAGGGCCGCUACCACGCGAGUGGAUGCCAAUCUCCAAAACCUCUCUCAGUUCGGAUCGGAGUCUGCAACUCGACUCCGUGAAGCUGGAUUCGCUAGUAAUCGCGCAUCAGCCAUGGCGCGGUGAAUACGUUCCCGGGCCUUGUACACACCGCCCGU